rnacentral:rRNA from 1 species
GAUGAACGCUGGCGGCGUGCCUAAUACAUGCAAGUCGAACGAGGUUUUGACGGAUGAACGAUGUGCUUGCACGGAGUGAUUUUGUUAACACCGAGUGGCGGACGGGUGAGUAACACGUGGGUAACCUGCCCUUAAGUGGGGGAUAACAUUUGGAAACAGAUGCUAAUACCGCAUAAACCCAAGGAUCACAUGGUCUUUGGUUGAAAGAUGGCGCAAGCUAUCGCUUUUGGAUGGACCCGCGGCGUAUUAGCUAGUUGGUAAGGUAACGGCCUACCAAGGCAAUGAUACGUAGCCGAACUGAGAGGUUGAUCGGCCACAAUGGGACUGAGACACGGCCCAUACUCCUACGGGAGGCAGCAGUAGGGAAUCUUCCACAAUGGACGCAAGUCUGAUGGAGCAACGCCGCGUGAGUGAAGAAGGCUUUCGGGUCGUAAAACUCUGUUGUUGGAGAAGAACACGUUUGAGAGUAACUGUUCAGACGUUGACGGUAUCCAACCAGAAAGCCACGGCUAACUACGUGCCAGCAGCCGCGGUAAUACGUAGGUGGCAAGCGUUAUCCGGAUUUAUUGGGCGUAAAGCGAGCGCAGGCGGUUUCUCAAGUCUGAUGUGAAAGCCUUCGGCUUAACCGAAGAAGUGCAUCGGAAACUGGGAAACUUGAGUGCAGAAGAGGACAGUGGAACUCCAUGUGUAGCAGUGAAAUGCGUAGAUAUAUGGAAGAACACCAGUGGCGAAGGCGGCUGUCUGGUCUGUAACUGACGCUGAAGCUCGAAAGUAUGGGUAGCAAACAGGAUUAGAUACCCUGGUAGUCCAUACCGUAAACGAUGAAUGCUAAGUGUUGGAGGGUUUCCGCCCUUCAGUGCUGCAGCUAACGCAUUAAGCAUUCCGCCUGGGGAGUACGGCCGCAAGGCUGAAACUCAAAGGAAUUGACGGGGGCCCGCACAAGCGGUGGAGCAUGUGGUUUAAUUCGAAGCUACGCGAAGAACCUUACCAGGUCUUGACAUACUAUGCAAAUCUAAGAGAUUAGACAUUCCCUUCGGGGACAUGGAUACAGGUGGUGCAUGGUUGUCGUCAGCUCGUGUCGUGAGAUGUUGGGUUAAGUCCCGCAACGAGCGCAACCCUUAUUAUCAGUUGCCAGCAUUAAGUUGGGCACUCUGGUGAGACUGCCGGUGACAAACCGGAGGAAGGUGGGGAUGACGUCAAAUCAUCAUGCCCCCUUAUGACCUGGGCUACACACGUGCUACAAUGGCCGGUACAACGAGCUGCGAACCCGCGAGGGUAAGCGAAUCUCUUAAAGCCGGUCUCAGUUCGGACUGUAGGCUGCAACUCGCCUACACGAAGUCGGAAUCGCUAGUAAUCGCGGAUCAGCAUGCCGCGGUGAAUACGUUCCCGGGCCUUGUACACACCGCCCGUCACACCAUGAGAGUUUGUAACACCCGAAGCCGGUGGGGUAACCUUUCGAGGGACUAGCCGUCUAAGGUGGGACAGAUGAUUAGGGUGAAGUCGUAACAAGGUAGCCGUAGGAGAACC